ensembl:lncRNA
GGGGCACUGCAUAUAUUUUUGGGGUAUUUUAAUUAACUAAAUAUCAACUUAACAUUAGAAAAAUACACUUUUUUUUUCUUUAACCUGUGAAUUUGACAUUAUCUGCAUUUUAAUCUAAUUUAGAUCUGGUACAAAUCGUUGCACCAAAUCAUUACAGUUUUUUAAAGGCAAAAUCUUACACUCUUGUAGUUCUUAAUAUUUUGCUCACAUCACUGGACAACAUCCAUCACCAAUAAUUCAACUCUUUUAUCAGCGCGCGAUAAGGACUUUUAUUUUGGUCUGCCGAUGUGACGUGACGCCAUAAUGCUGCGUCACGCUCCUGCAUCAGCGCUGAAGAAGGCACAAAGUGUCCAAACACACAGAAAAACUCCUGCUGAAGCGACUGAGAUAUAUGUAACACACUGUUAUAAAGAUGGAGUUUAUUAAAGAGGAGAGUGAAGAUGUAAGGAUUGAAGAAACAUUCAGAGUCAAACAUGAAGAAGAUACUGAGGAACAAACAGGUUGGUUUUCCUUCUGUUUUUAAGAUGAACUCAUUCAUCUGAUCCUUAUUAAAAGGUCCAGCUCUACAGAAAUGAAUAUUUUUGAAGAAUGUCAUAGAACUGUUGUAAAGACAGAUGUAAAUUAAAGCAUCGUUGGAGGACUAAAUUCAGUCAAAUACUUUAACAGUUUUGUUAAAGUGUAAAACCGAAUUUAUCCAAUGAAUGCAACACUUUCACUUACCUAAUCUCAGGUGGAUGUCUUUAACGCACAAAUGAAAAACUACAUGAAUGCAGCGACCUUUAAAUGAAACUUUCUUUAGUUGAAAAAAUCAGACUGAUGACCAAAUCAGUCACCAGGUCUAAUGGUGCCCACCAAUUAUGACAAUCUGGCGCCGGGCCUGCUCCGCUGACUAGUUAAGUUGUGCAGUGUUUUCAGUUUGUGAGGAAAUAUAAACCUAAGUGUCAUUAGCAUAACAGUGAGCGUAAAUAAUAAUGUCCCUUAGGGGGAUAAAUAUAAGGAGAAAAGCAGAGGACCCAAUACUGAGCCCUGUGGCACUCCAUACUUUGAGACAUCUCAUCAAACACAAGUGGUAGCGGUUGGAUAG